AUGCAGCGUUCUGAGUUCAAAUGACUGAAGAGUUCCCUUGUCCAUCUUGAAUAAGACUAUACCAAAAAGAAAGGAGACAAGAACUACUGGGAUAAAGAGAGAUACAGAACAUUGCAAGUCUUGACUGUUUCUAAUAUUUAGGAAAAGAAAUAUGUGUGGGGGUUGGGAAUGAAGAAAGUGCAAUUGCUAAGAUGAUGUGAGCAAGUAAGAAGAAGCCAAGUGCUUUGCAAUGUGGCAGUCAAAGUGAUGUCUUAAUGGUGUCUUGGGAAUUGGCCAGACCUGUCCUAUGAUAAAAACAAAAAGGUAAGGAUCAUGUGGGAAACUCUGCUUUGAGAAGGAAACUCGGGGUAUCAUCGCUCUCACAGUGCCAUUUAGGCAAGUGUUUGUCCACAUCCAUUCACCCAGGCAUUGAGAAGUUUCUGCAGCUCGGGUUCAAGGGCCUUCCCACUGCUUGGUCUGAAGAUAUCCGUGUAAUAAUGCUUUUUCAGGUCUGAAAAAUGCAUGAGUAAUGAGGUCCAUAGGCUUUCAGCUCAAUUCCAAAGAAAGGAUUAGAGGCCCAGCAACACAACACAGAGGCUAACCCUUGUAAGCAUCCUGGUGAAGGAGAUAUGUGAAACCAUGAAGCAGAAAUUGGUGGUGCGAUAAAGACCUCAAGAAGAUGGAAAUGCCAGGAAUCUAGAUGCUCCUCUGAAGAAAGACACAGGCAUUGAGAAGAGUCAGUUUAGGAGAAGAGCAUGUGGGCUACAAAUGGCAAAACCAUAAGGACAGGGCUCCCCCAGACCUUUGGGGCUCAUAUCUCACCAACAUGUGCCUUGAUGCUAGACUUAAAGGACCUCACUGCUAAAGUCUGCCUUGAAUUUCAGAAAAGACCUCAAACUUGAACUUUGGAAAAAUGUUGGCAUUGUUAAGAAUAUGGGGAUUCUUGAAGCUGGAAUGAUGCAUUUUGUGUUGUGAGAUAGACAUGAGCCUUCUGUGGACCAGGUGCUUGGGGGUUAAGGUGGACUUCUGAUGGUUAAUCAUAUUGUCAGCUUGUUUGGUUUGAGAAAGGCCUAGCAGAUUCUCAAAGCACAUUUCUGUCUGUAACUGAGGAAGAAAACUCCAUCCUGACUGUGGGUGGUACCAUUUCACAGUCUAGAGCAGCAGUUCUCAACCUGUGACUUGCAACCCCUUUGGAGGGGCUGCCAAGAUCAUCAGAAAACACAGAUAUUUACAUUAUGAUUCAUAACAAGCAAAAUUAUAGUAACGAAGUAGCAAUGAAAAUAAUUUUAUGGUUGAGGGUCACCACAACAUAAGGGAUUAUAUUAAAGGGUUGCAGCAUUAGGAAGGUUGAGAACAACUGAUCUGAAGGAAUUAGUAAAAUAAUUUGACAAGGAGACAUUGUUGCUUUCUCAUUGCUUCCUCUCUGCCAAGGGUGAGGUCUUCUGCACUGCCACAUCCUUCCCACCAUCAUUGACAAAAAGAUCUGAAACUGUAAACUGAAACAAAUCAUUUUCCCUUUAAGUUGUUCACUCAGGUAUUCCCUUGCACUGACUAAUACAAUUACUGCACACACAUUUCUAGUCAUUGGCAAACCAAUUGGCUGCAGGGAGAUUGUUGCCCAGCAUUUAUAACUGCCAACUUGCCUGGAUUCAAAUCCUGUUUCACAAUGCCAUCCUUUGAUUGGCAUGUGUGUUGGUUAGCUUUUUGGCAACCCAGGAUAUGUUAAAGCCAUCUGGGUAGAGGGGGCCUUAAUUGAAGAAUUGCCUCCAUCAUAUUACCUGUGGGUAAGUCUGUGGAACAUUUUCUUGGUUAAUAACUGAUGUAGGAGGGACCAGCUAUCUAUGAAUAGUACUGCCUCCUAGAGAGGUGGUCCUGAGUCCUUUCCAUAUGAAAGCAAAUGAAACACACCACAGUUGGCAGUCUAGUCAGCAGUAUUCCUCCAUGGUGUUUGAAUCCAUUUCUGACUCUAGGGUCCUUUCUUGGGAUGCUGCCCUGUUUCCCUCUAUGACAGACUGUAAGCUAUAGUAUGAAAUAAACUAUCUCCUCCCUCAGGGUUUUUGGUCAUGGUCUUUAUAA